UACGUAGGGUGCAAGCGUUGUCCGGAAUUAUUGGGCGUAAAGAGCUCGUAGGCGGCUUGUCACGUCGGGUGUGAAAGCCCGGGGCUUAACCCCGGGUCUGCAUUCGAUACGGGCUAGCUAGAAUGUGGUAGGGGAGAUCGGAAUUCCUGGUGUAGCGGUGAAAUGCGCAGAUAUCAGGAGGAACACCGGUGGCGAAGGCGGAUCUCUGGGCCAUUACUGACGCUGAGGAGCGAAAGCGUGGGGAGCGAACAGG
rnacentral:rRNA from 1 species